rnacentral:rRNA from 1 species
GAUGAACGCUGGCGGCGUGCCUAACACAUGCAAGUCGAGCGAACAGACGAGGAUCUCGCUCCUCUUACGUUAGCGGCGGACGGGUGAGUACUACGUGGAUACCUUAUCUAUAAGACUGAGAUAACUUCGGGAGACCUGAUCCAACACCGGACAAUAUAUUGAACCGCAUGGUUCUAUAGUGCAAGCCGUUUUUGCUGUCACUUAUAGAUGGUUCCGCGCCGCAUUAGCUAGUUGGUAAGGUAACGGCUUACCAAGGCAACGAUGCGUAGCCGACCUGAGAGGGUGAUCAGCCACACUGGAACUGAGACACGGUCCAGACUCCUACGGGAGGCAGCAGUAGGGAAUCUUCCGCAAUGGGCGAAAGCCUGACGCAGCAACGCCGCGUGAGUGAUGAAGGUCUUCGGAUCGUAAAGCUCUGUUAUUAGGGAAGAACAGAUGUAAAAGUAACUAUGCACGUCUUGACGGUACCUACACAAAAAGCCACGGCUAACUACGUG